rnacentral:rRNA from 1 species
GGGCCCGCACAAGCGGUGGAGUAUGUGGUUUAAUUCGAUGCAACGCGAAGAACCUUACCAGGGUUUGACAUCCUGCGAAUCUCUUGGAAACGAGAGAGUGCCUUCGGGAGCGCAGUGACAGGUGGUGCAUGGCUGUCGUCAGCUCGUGUCGUGAGAUGUUGGGUUAAGUCCCGCAACGAGCGCAACCCACGUCUUUAGUUGCCAGCAUUUAGUUGGGCACUCUAAGAAGACUGCCGGUGACAAACCGGAGGAAGGUGGGGAUGACGUCAAGUCAUCAUGCCCCUUAUGUCCAGGGCUGCACGCAUGCUACAAUGGCAAGUACAACGAGUCGCAAUACCGCGAGGUGGAGCAAAUCUCUUAAAGCUUGUCUCAGUUCGGAUAGGAGUCUGCAACUCGACUCCUUGAAGUUGGAGUC